rnacentral:rRNA from 1 species
ACGUAGGGGGCGAGCGUUGUCCGGAUUUAUUGGGCGUAAAGGGCGCGUAGGCGGCGCGGAACAUCCGGCGUGAAAUCUCCCCGCUCAACGGGGAGGGGUCGGCGGAGAUGGCCGAGCUGGAGGACGGUAGAGGCAGAUGGAAGUCCCGCAGUAGUGGUGAAAUGCGUAGAGAGCGGGAGGAACACCAGAGGCGAAGGCGAUCUGCUGGGCCGGACCUGACGCUGAGGCGCGACAGCCAGGGGAGCGAACGGAAUUAGAUACUCCGGUAGUCCUGGCCGUAAACGAUGGCGACCAGAUGGGGGGGGCUUCGACCCCGUCCCCGUCGCGGCAAACGCGAUGAGUCGCCCGCCUGGGGAGUACGGCCGCAAGGCUA